CAUGGCCUUAUUGAUAAUAAUUUAAGGUCUGAUCUGCUCAAUGAAUUUUAAAUAGCCGCAGUAUUUUGACUGUGCGAAGGUAGCAUAAUAAUUAGUUUCUUAAUUAGGAACUGGAAUGAAUGAUUGGACAAGAAAAUUACUGUCUCUUUUUUAGUUGUUGAAUUUUAUUUUUAAGUGAAAAAGCUUAAAUGUUUAUAAAAGACGAGAAGACCCUAUAGAGUUUAAUAUUUUUUUUUAAUUUGUUAUUAGUAUAAUUUUUUUAGACAAAAUUAUUUGGUUGGGGUGAUUGAAAGAUAUAAUUAAUUCUUUUAAAUUUUAAUUAAAAAUUUUUAAAUUUUUAAUCUAUAAUUUGUAAAAUUAAAAUAAAUUACCUUAGGGAUAACAGCGUAAUUUUUCUUAAAAGUUCUUAUUGUAAGGAAAGUUUGCGACCUCGAUGUUGGAUUAAAAUAAAUUUUUGGUGCAAUAACUGAAAAAUUGGGUCUGUUCGACCUUUAAAAUUUUACAUGAUCUGAGUUUAGACCGGUGUGAACCAGGUUGGAUUCUAUCUUUAUAUUUAUUUCUUAUAUUUUAGUACGAAAGGACCAAAUAUGAAUUAAAUUAAUUGU
rnacentral:rRNA from 1 species